GGGCGUAAGCGCGCGUAGGUGGCUAAGUCAGCCAGGUGUGAAAGCCCCGGGCUCAACCUGGGAACGGCAUCUGGAACUGCUUGGCUAGAGUGCAGGAGAGGAAGGUAGAAUUCCCGGUGUAGCGGUGAAAUGCGUAGAGAUCGGGAGGAAUACCAGUGGCGAAGGCGGCCUUCUGGACUGACACUGACACUGAGGUGCGAAAGCGUGGGUAGCAAACAGGAUUAGAUACCCUGGUAGUCCACGCCGUAAACGAUGUCAACUAGCCGUUGGGUCCCUUGAGGACUUAGUGGCGCAGCUAACGCAAUAAGUUGACCGCCUGGGGAGUACGGCCGCAAGGUUAAAACUCAAAUGAAUUGACGGGGGCCCGCACAAGCGGUGGAGCAUGUGGUUUAAUUCGAUGCAACGCGAAGAACCUUACCUACCCUUGACAUCCAGAGGACUUUCCAGAGAUGGAUUGGUGCCUUCGGGAACUCUGAGACAGGUGCUGCAUGGCUGUCGUCAGCUCGUGUUGUGAAAUGUUGGGUUAAGUCCCGUAACGAGCGCAACCCCUAUCCUUAUUUGCCAGCGAGUAAUGUCGGGAACUCUAAGGAGACUGCCGGUGACAAACCGGAGGAAGGUGGGGACGACGUCAAGUCAUCAUGGCCCUUACGGGUAGGGCUACACACGUGCUACAAUGGCAAGUACAAAGGGUUGCAAUACUGCGAAGUGGAGCCAAUCCCAUAAAGCUUGCCUCAGUCCGGAUUGGAGUCUGCAACUCGACUCCAUGAAGUCGGAAUCGCUAGUAAUCGUGGAUCAGAAUGCCACGGUGAAUACGUUCCCGGGCCUUGUACACACCGCCCGUUCACACCAUGGGGAGUGGACUGCACCAGAAGUGGUUAGCC
rnacentral:rRNA from 1 species